AUAAGCUGAGACCCUUGCUGCGAUCCAUCUUCUUCUAAUACUUUUUGAGCCAAACGGGCUUCUUGAGAUAAAGAAUUGAGAACAUUUAAUAGAUCAUGUCCGGUGUCUCUCUCAACCUCUUGAAAACGAAGUUGGAGGGAAGAGAGAUUCUGCCUUAAUUCGCUCGAAAUCAAAUCAACUUUCUGUAAUAGUUCUUGAUAUAUCUCAAUUAUUACGCCCUCCUGAUUUUGAUUCUGGUGAUUUUGAUCAGUAUUUUUCUCUUCUACUACAUUAUCCUUCUGUUCUUGAAAUUCGCGUAUACAUUCAUUGAUAAACUGUUUAGCAAAGGCAAUUGUUUCAGUUUCAUGUUUUAUGGAUGAUUUUUCAAACUGUUUUACAAUGCUACUUGUAUUGGUGACACUUCCUUUAACCAUUUUUAAAUCCGACUAUGUUCGCGGUUGGAUUGAAAUUCGUUUACAAAUACUAAUAAGUUAAAAUGAGGGUCGCAUUGGUAACGACAAAUAAGAGUGAUUAUUGAAAGAAA